rnacentral:tRNA from 1 species
CCCCUGAUAGCAAAAUGGUUAAGCUCUUGGCUGUUAACCAAAAGGUUGGUGGUUCAAACCCAUCCAGAGGC